rnacentral:lncRNA from 1 species
GGCUGAGCAAAUGGGAAAAAGCCCCUUAGAAAACUAUCCGAUCUUUUGAGAAUUCACUUACUAUCACAAGAACAACAUGGGAGUAACUGCCCCUAAGAUUCAAUUACCUCCCACUGAAGAUUAUGGGAACUACAAUUCAAAAUGAGAUUUGGGUGGAGACACAGCCAAACCAUAUCAGAUAGCAAUGCAGAGAAGAAACUAAACAAACAGACCUUGCUAAGUUCUCCCAGUUUGUUACCACUAGAUCAUGCUCCCUUUGUCCAAUCAUACUUCUUCACAACUAUUCACUUCUUCAUCAAACUUUGUGUAAAAAUAUACAGGUUUUCCUGUUUCUAUGGGUAUUCAUUUCUGAAGGCUCCCAUGUUACACAGUAUUUAGAUUAAAUAGAGUAUGCCAGGACAGUUAAAGAGGCUUCAUUCCAAAAUACAUUUGUUCAUUCAUUCAGCAAAAUUUCUUUAAGUAUCACUGUAUGCCAGAAAAUAUGCUGUGUCACAGUAGAUAGUAAUCAGCAAGAGGACACAAUCUGAAGUUUGCAGAGUAUACAACCUAACAGGUGAAAAAAUACAUCAUUAGAAAUUGUGAUAAUAGCAAUGAAGGAAAAUCAAAGGCCUCAAUGACAGAACACUAUGAGGUGUCUUUUUCAGAUAAAUACUAUGAGAAGGCCCCUCUGCAGAGCUGACAUUUUAGAUGAGACCUAAGGAUAAGAAGAAGCCAGAAAUGAUCAUCAUUGAGGACGGGAGGCAGAAUUACAUUGCAGCUCUGACUCAGAUGGAUAGAGCAGCAUGCAGAGAUUCGCAUUGUGAAUUUUAACUCCAGAAUGACUGUAGGAAUAAAUGGGGAAUCCCAAAAGGACCCACAGACUCUCUGAAGGAAGCAGACUGCUCCUGAAGGACCCAGGAGACACCCUAAAUACUGUGAGUGCCCAAACUGCAGAAGUGGGAAAGGAAGUUCCUCUUUUCCCAAACACACACCCCCACUGAGGAAACUGAAUGUCUGGCUUGCAGCACAAGAUUUUGACCUCACCUGGAGCUGAGACAAUUUAGAGAGCCAAGCAAAAUACAGAAGUAGAGGAGCAACGGAAAGACCCUGGGAGCUUGCUGGGUCCUCAAGCAGGCCAUUCCUGCCUGGCAUCACAAGGAUCCUUAGGGUGUGUGGCCAGUGGCCCAAGGAAAAUGCCAUAGGAAGAAGGAAGUCUUCAGUUGAACUUUGUAAUAAUUUGGACCAGUCGAGAAGCCUCCUGGUCAGAACUCGGGGGAGGGCACAAAUCUGGUGUGCAGACUCCGCAGGCAGGGGAAGAACUAAAGCUCUUUUCUUUUGCAGCUGGGAGGCAGGUAUCCUGGGGCAAGUACUCAACCCUGAUUGCCCACUGCCUGGAAACAGACUUGGCUGUUAGGGGGAGCAUGAUGGGAGUGAGACUGGCUCUUCAGAUUGCAUGGGAGCUGGGUGAUGCCUGUGACUGUGGCUUCCUCCCACUUCCCUGACAACCUGCAUGACUCAGCAGAGGCAGCCAUAAUGCUCCUAGGUACACAACUCCAUUGACCUGGUAACCUCACCCACAUCCCCCACAGCAGCCACAGUAAGAUCCGCCCAAGGAGAGUCUGAGCUCAGACACACAUAGCCGUGCCCUGACCUGAUGGUCUUUCCCUAUCCAUCCUGGUAACUGAAAAAAGAGCGUGUACUCUUGGGAGUUCUAGGGCCCCACCCACCAUUGGUUGCUCUCCUUACUACCACAGCUGAUGCUCUCUGGAAAGCACCACCUCCCAGCAGGAUACCAACCAGACCAAAAAUAGAACAUUAAACCACAAAAGCUAAGAACCCUCACAAAGUCCAUUUCACCCUCCUGCCAUCGCCACCAGAACAGGUGCUGGUAUCCACAGCUGAGAGACCCACAGACAGUUCACAUCACAAGACUCUGUGCAGCCAACUCCCAGUACCAGCCCAGAGCCUGGUAGACUUGCUAAGUGGCUAGACCCAGAAGAGAGAUAACAAUCCCUACAGCUCAGCUGUCAGUGAGAGACAGGACUAGCUGGAUUUCCUAGGCUGACUAAGAAUCCCUAAGCCUAGCUGGGAAGGUGACUGCAUCCACCUUGAAACACGGGCCUUGCAACUUAGCUCACACCAGACCAAUCAGGCAGUAAAGAGAGCUCACUAAAAUGCUAAUUAGACAAAAACAGGAGGUAAAGAAAUAGCCAAUCAUCUAUCACCUGAGAGCACAGGGGGAGGGACAAUGGUCAGGAUAUAAACCCCGGCACUUGAGAUGGCAAUGGCAACGCCCUUUGGGUCCCCUCCCAUUACAUGGGAGCUCUGUUUUCACUUUAUUAAAUCUUGCAACUGC